UUCUACUUAGAUCCUGAAGGAGAAGGAAGGAAAUGAAGCUGAAUUUUUAGGGUUUAUAUGAGGUAUUCAAGCUCUCUGCACACACUGGCAAAGUCAAGUGAGAAGAAACAAACUACUGAAUUCUGAUUUUCUUUACACGUGUGAAAGUUAGCCACAGAUGACCACUCCUGCAUGAUGUCAUCUCAGUCCACUGACCUAACAACUCUGAAGGACUUGGAUCUUGAAGUUGCAUCACAAGUUAAGGG